UUCUGGCUUUGGUGUCAGGGGAAGUGCGGUGCAAUUCCGCCGCUGUCGCGCAACGGUGAAAGCCCGAAUGCCUGCCCAGGG
rfam:Meiothermus silvanus DSM 9946 plasmid pMESIL01, complete sequence.